GCCGGGCGCCUUGGCACACACCUGUAAUCCCAGCGGCUUGGGAGGCUGAGGCAGGUGGAUCAUGAGUUCAAAGCCAGCCUUAGCAAUUUAGUGAGGUCCUAAGCAACUCAAUGAGACUCUGUCUCUA
rnacentral:sRNA from 1 species